rnacentral:rRNA from 1 species
AUGGAAGAAAAUACUAGGCCUGAUUGUGUCUGAUCUUGGAAGCUAAGCAGGGUUGGGCCUGGUUAGUACUUGGAUGGGAAAAUGCCUGGGAAUCCCGGGUGUUAUA